rnacentral:rRNA from 1 species
CACGUAGGGGACGAGCGUUGUUCGGAUUCAUUGGGCGUAAAGGGUGCGUAGGUGGCGGGGUAAGUCAGGUGUGAAAUUUCGGAGCUCAACUCCGAAACUGCAUUUGAUACUGCCUUGCUUGAGGACUGGAGAGGAGACUGGAAUUCACGGUGUAGCAGUGAAAUGCGUAGAGAUCGUGAGGAAGACCAGUGGCGAAGGCGGGUCUCUGGACAGUUCCUGACACUGAGGCACGAAGGCCAGGGGAGCAAACGGG